rnacentral:rRNA from 1 species
AUUGAACGCUGGCGGCAGGCCUAACACAUGCAAGUCGAGCGAGCGGCGGACGGGUGAGUAAUGUCUGGGAAACUGCCUGAUGGAGGGGGAUAACUACUGGAAACGGUAGCUAAUACCGCAUACCAUCAGAUGUGCCCAGAUGGGAUUGGCUAGUAGGUGGGGUAACGGCUCACCUAGGCGACGAUCCCUAGCUGGUCUGCCAGGAUGACCCGGCACACGGGAACUGAUGCACGGUCCAGAAUCCUACGGGAGGAAGCAGUGGUGAAUAUGGCACAAUGGGCGGAAGCGUGAUGCAGCCAUGCCGCGUGUGUGAAGAAGGCCUUCGGGUUGUAGAGCACUUUCAGCGGGGAGGCGUUACCCGCAGAAGAAGCACCGGCUAACUCCGUGCCAGCAGCCGCGGUAAUUC